AGUGAACGCUGGCGGUAGGCCUAACACAUGCAAGUCGAACGACAGCACAGUAAGAGCUUGCUCUUACGGGUGGCGAGUGGCGGACGGGUGAGGAAUACAUCGGAAUCUACUUUUUCGUGGGGGAUAACGUAGGACAACUUACGCUAAUACCGCAUACGACCUACGGGUUAAAUCAGUAGAUCUUCGCACCUUUCGCGAUUGAAUGAGCCGAUGUCGGAUUAGCUAGUUGGUGGGGUAAAGGCUCACCAAGGCGACGAUGCGUAGCUGAUCUGAGAGGAUGAUCGGCCACACUGGAACUGAGACACGGUCCAGACUCCUACGGGAGGCAGCAGUGGGGAAUCUUGGACAAUGGGCGAAAGCCUGAUCCAGCAACGCCGCGUGGGUGAUGAAGGUCUUCGGGUUGUAAAGCUCUGUUGUUGGGGAAGAAAAAAUGUAUAAUAAAACAUGCAUGUUCUGACGGUACCUAAAGAGUAAGCCCCGGCUAACUUCGUG
rnacentral:rRNA from 1 species